rnacentral:lncRNA from 1 species
ACCUCGUUGGUGUGAGAGAAACAUGUGUGGAGAUAAGUCUCGUCCAUCCAAUGAAGAAGAUCACCAACCCAGAGAGUCUUCACAUCAUCUCCACCAGAUCCACCACGCUGCUGCUGCUGGUGAUAAGGAAGAGAGUCUUCACAUCAUCUCCACCAGAUCCACCACGCUGCUGGUGCUGCUGCUGGUGAUAAGGAGCGUAGUGAAACUGAGGAGGAUGCUGAUAGUGACCUUGGGUGUACGGUGCGUAUUGGUGAGGAUACAUCAUCAUAUGCUGCUGCUGCUGCAUCAUCG